GUAAAAACAAAAAGAAAAAACUGUAAUACAACUUUCUAUGGCAGAGGGUGUACUUUUUCACAUGACUGAAAGUCAUCAUAAAUAAAUGUAUGGAUCACAAGCUUAGCAAAUGAUAAGCUAAGCUAAGAUAAUAAGCUAAUUGUGUUUACCACCAGUUAACAUUUUUAAAAAGGAUCCAACAAUCGGUUUGGGUUUUUUAUUAAUUUUAUAACCCACUAAGAUUUAUUUUGUCAGGAAUACAUUUUUAUCUCGCUAGUCAUUUUCCCACACCAACUCAUCUCGAGAUGUUCAGUGAUUUUCUUGUAAACAAUCGACUGAGCAUUUGAAAGUUAUUCAGACACCUUACUUUUUUCCACAUUUUGUUAUGUUACAGUCUUAUUCUAAAAUAGAUCUUUUUCCUCAUCAAUCUAGAAACAAUCCCAUAAUGACCAAGCAAAAACAGGUUUUUGAAAUGUUUGAAAAUGUAAUAUUAAACCCCACACCAGAAAUAUCACAUUUACAUAACUUUAAUCACAGAACCACCAACGGCAGCAAUUAGAGCCUUGAGUCCCCUUGGGUGUGACACUACAAGCUUGGUAUACCUGUUUUUGGGGAGUUUCUUCUCUUGGCAGAUCCUCUCAAGCUCUGUCAUGUUGGAUGGGGAACAUCACUGCCCAUACAUUUUAACUUCUCUCCAGCUGUUAAAUUAGGGUUCAAGUCUGGGCUCUGGCUGGACCACUCAAGGACAUUCACAGACUUGUCCAAAAGCCACUCCUCAGUUCAUCUUUCUCUCAGUCCUGACUAGUCUACACUGUGUUCUUGAGGACCUUCAAUGCUGCAGACAUUUUUGUUAUCCUUCCCCAGAUCUGUGCCUCAACACCAUCCUGUCUAAUAUCUCUACGGGCAGUUCCUUCAACCUUAAUUUUUGCUUUGGCCUGCACUGUCAACUUACAUAGACAGUGGGACCAGACCUUAUGUAGACAGGUUUGUGCCUUUCCAGAUCAUGUCCAAUCACAUUAAAAUGUUACCACAGGUGGACUUGUGAAUCAAGUUCCAGAAACAUUUCAUGGAUGAUCAUUGGAAACAGGAUGCACCGGAGUCACAGCAAAGAGACUCAUUACUUAUUUAAAUGUGAUAUUUCAGUUUUUUUAAUAAUGUGUUUUUGCUUGGUAAUUAUGAGGUACUGCCUGUAGAUUGACAAGGGGAUUUUAAUUUUUUUAGAAAGAGGGUAUGACAUAACAAAAUGUGAUAAAAGUGUUCUGAAUAUUUUUCAAAUGCACAACAUAUUUAUAUUCCAUUUCUAUUAACCAUCCCCUAUCUUACAAUUCUACCAAGACCUUUUUGCCCUCUAUUAAUGUACACAGUCCCAUUUUUAUUGUUUGCUAUCCUUUGCCUUCUUGCUUGGGCACACUGCUCUCUCCAACGUGCACUGACAGUGUAGCUCAAAGCUGUGAAGGUUGUCUGGUAGUCUGGUCUGUUGUGACAGCAGCAGAGACGGUGACAAACAGUGAUCUAAUGUGUUCAGUCACACCAGGGCACGGUGUGGGGAAAGAGACUGACAGACGGUCCCGUCUCUCACCUCCAGCCACGCUGUGAGAAACGAGGACCGACCUCACGUCCGUGCUGGCCGACAGACACAACGGGAGGUUGCGGCUGCUCUGCUCGGACCACAGCUUGUUUAACGAGACUGUAAUAGUAUUAUCCAGCCCAGGGUGGUUUGGGAUGGGCGCAUAGUACUGCCCGAGUGUCUGAAGCAAGUAUGAGGAGACACUGAAAUGUAACACUGAUAGACGGACCAGCAAGAACGUUUCAAAGGGGAAUAUCUCUGGGCACAAUUUUGGAGAAAAAAAAAGAUUAGCUGAAAACAUUAACUGCAGAUAUCUGCCGGUCAUUUAUGAUUUUAUUUAAGUGAGUAGGCCAGUAAAAAUCUUACAUAUGGCCCAAUUUCUAUAAAUAAUUCAAUACAAGGCUGUAAUUACAAUAAAUAUCCGCC
ensembl:lncRNA